CCUCAGUAAUGGACUGACUCUGUGCCUGGUGUGCUCCUGCUGCCACCAUAUAGCCACAGCUGAGCUUUGCCAUUUGUUUCCAGCUGGGGAGGGAAGGAAAAGCCAGACCAACUUUGAAGAUCCAAAAGAAGGUGGGGAGAGAAGACUCAGAUUCGACCUCUGCACCUAACAUGCAUGCCAAGGAGUCUGGUUACCUUGGUCCUAUUUCUAGCCUGAUGGAGUUCAGCAAGGGUCUGAAGGCUGAAGCCCUGGCACCUGCAGCCUGUCACCACACUGUCAAGCAGAUGUUGAGAGGUGGUGGUAUGUGAAGUAUGCAACACAAAGG